rnacentral:rRNA from 1 species
GACGAACGCUGGCGGCGUGCUUAACACAUGCAAGUCGAACGUGAUUUUUGUGGAAAGCCCUUCGGGGAUGGAAAUUAAAUGAAAGUGGCGAACGGGUGAGUAACACGUGAGCAACCUACCUUACACAGGGGGGAUAGCCGUUGGAAACGACGAUUAAUACCGCAUGAGACCACUAAGACACAUGUUUUGGAGGUAAAAGAUUUAUCGGUGUAAGAUGGGCUCGCGUCUGAUUAGCUAGUUGGAAGGUAAAGGCCUACCAAGGCAACGAUCAGUAGCCGGUACUGAGAGGAUGAACGGCCACAUUGGAACUGAGACACGGUCCAA